ensembl:lncRNA
CACAAGAAUUGUUCCAUGCUGUUCCACCCCUAUGUCUAUUUCUAUUUUUGGACCUAUGUGUCUUGCUAUGCAACUGACACUAGCCUCCAAUGGUGUCGUAUAUGAUUCCAACAGAUUUAUCAGCGUUUCCCAAGCCGCUUUUUCUGUGAUACUGUAACAUGCACGUGUUGUACCAGGUGCAUUCAGCCUGAAAUUAGCAGUCUCAGUGAACCGAAAAAGAAUUAUUUGUAGGGGUAAAGAACUGCAGAAACCAGCUUUUCUUUUUUGUAAACCCGGUCUCUGAGGACCCAAGACCAGUCUGCAAUUUUAAUUCUGUUCCAGCAUCUGAGCAAACACACAAGACUGAUCACUGACUCAUCACUGACGCAGGUGUGAAUCAAGAUUCUAUGGAGCAAGAAAUUGAUUUCAAACAGAUUAGCUUAUGUUCCGUAUUUUUUAUUUGUAUUUUUUUUAACCACAGCGCUGUUGCGUUCUCAAUUCUGACUGGUCAGAAGGUUGAUUAAUUUUUUUAGAACAGUAACUCGGACACUAGUGUCAGUUGCAAUUCAGAUCACAGGCUUAUAUUAAUAUCAUUCUAAUACCCUGUUAUAUGUAAUGUAUAAAUGUGUGAGGUAAAACUAGUAAAUGUGAGCCUCUUGUGUGAAUGAGUGAGGUAAAACUAGUAAAUGUGAGUAAAAAUUAUGAAUGUGAGGUAAAACUAGUAAAUGUGAGCCUUUUAUAUGAAUGAGUGAGGUAGAACUAGUAAAUGUGAGCCUUUUGUAUGAAUGUGUGAGGUAGAACUAGUAAAUGUGAGCUUUUUAUUUGAAGUGAAACAGUAAUGAGGUCAAAUCUUAAUCAACUUCAGGGUGGUAGGAAUUUCACAAAGAAGCAUUUUCCAAAACUUCUUUGUUACAAAAACAAAUUUCUUAAAGCUAGCAUGACUGCAAACUGGCCAAACACGGGCAGUGACAUUCUGACAUUUUGCCCAUGAUGUCUGUGUGUGUGUCUGGUUAAGUAACGGGUUGGCGAAAUGGAUCAAUUGAAGAGUGACUCAGUUCCAUCCCGAGGUCUUCAGGUUACUUCCUGGAAACGUUGAGUGGACAUUCCACUCCGAUAAAGACACCUCCUGGUUACACACACGCACAACCGAGCUGAGUUAUUUAUGCAUGGACAGUAUUAGAGUUCACCAAAGGCAGGCCAAAAUCGCCUCAUCAUGAUGUUAACACUUGGACUGUGUGUGUGUCAGAGUGAAGGAAAUAGUGCUGUGUAGUGUGCAUUCAGCAGUUCUUUUCCAUUCAUAUAGACAAGGUGAAAUGAAUGAAAAAGGAAUCUGUGACUCUCAAAGAAAACCCGAAUCCCCAAAAAAUGGUGCUUCGUUGUUUACAGAAUUCAUCCACAAAUUAAUAAUAGUUUUAUGGUUAAGAUCACAAAUCGGUCAAUAAUGGAUCCUAGCAAAGUAAAAACUUCAUCUUAAUUCUGUACAUAUGUACAUUGUGUGUGUGUGAGAGAGAGAGAGUGAGAGAGAGAGGAGGAUGUGGACAGUCUGUGUGGUUUCAGAGCCACAUGGAUAUUGUGUGUGUGUGUUUUAAAUUAUUCUCAGGGUCAUAGUGCUCAGUCACUGAUAGCUCUUCUCUCUCAU